ACACGGUUUGAAGAAUGAUACUGUUCCUGUGAAAUAACAUUUUCCGGUUUCCUCCGACUUCGGUAUGAUCACUGAAAUCAGUACGGCCACUGACAUCAGUAGCCAAACGGACGAAUGAUGUGGGAAAGCGACAGGUUUCGGUUAAAACAAUCAAGUACAGGAAGACCACGAUGAAUUGAAUCAUCGUCUGAAACAGCAACUCGUGAACUCGUCAUUAAGAAGAAAGCUCCGGUAUAUAAAUAGACUCCAAGCUUUGGAUUGCAGAAUUAUAUGGACAAUCUGGAACUGCUUGGCGUAGCUUGACCACCAGCUAAGAACGGCAAAGCUAGUCGCCAAAACAUCAAAGUAUGCGUACGGCUAGACUAAAUGGUGUUACCGAUAGCUUUCACGCUGGAAACCAACUAUUCGGGCAUCUGUAGUAGCCGUUGAGCGUAAUGCAGGAUAUAGUGAUCGGUGCAAUUCUUUAAGUAGAUGCUGAGGAGAUUCAGCCAAUGCUUCAACUUCAGAACCAUACUGGUCAACACUCAACACAAAGUGCCGGUGCCAGUUUUCAUGCCGUCACUCAUUUUUAACAGCACAUCGGUUUCAGCAUCUCAUGCAGUUUGGACACCAUUCAGAAAGCUCUGCUUGGAAUAGCUCCUUUUGAUAAUUAUGUAGUGGCGUGUUGAUCAACAGUUCGUGAGCUAAUGCUAAUGUUGGGACCUUUCCUUAGCCAUGCGGUGAGAUGCGCGGCUACAAAACGAGAUCACUGGGUUCAAUUUUUUGACCCGUCAUAGGAAAUUUACAUUUCUGACUAAGUUGCAAGGCAGAAGGAAAUCGAAGAUGGGAAAUGUUUUGAAGAAAUUGUUCUUGUACGACUUCAUGCGAUAACCUUCCGAGCAGCAUACUAAAUUUGUUCUACGCAGGCCAAUUUGAACGACACCUUUUCAUAGUUUGUCAGCAAGGAUUUGAGCUUGGAUGUUUCCAACGACAGUUCAUGCUUACGACACAUCUGUUGCUUGCGCUCGCAGUUUAUGGUAAUAUCGAAGCAGCAACCAAAAAAUGUCCUCGGCAAUAACUAAGUUUGGAUGCUUUCAACUUGGAAAUUGCAAGACCUAUUUCGUUCGUCAUAUCGGUGUCGGUAUCACUGGACCAAGGCUGCAUAUUUGACACAUUCUUUGAUACAUUACAGUAGUAAUAUGUACUAGUUAUUUGGUUAUAGUGUUGCUACUUAACAGCUGAUUAGGGAUGCAAUUCCUUGUCGGUGUCGGAUCGUAAUUAGUUUCUCCGGGGCCCUCCUUAGCCGUGCGGUAAGAUGCGCGGCUACAAAGCAAGACCAUGCUGAGGGUGGCUGGGUUCAAUUCCCGGUGCCGGUCUAGGCAAUUUUCGGUUUGGAAAUUGCCUCGACUUCCCUGGGCAUACAAGUAUCAUCGUGUUAGCCUCAUGAUAUACGAAUGCAAAAAUGGUAACCUGGCUUAGAAACCUCGCAGUUAAUAACUGUGGAAGUGCUUAAUGAACACUAAGCUGCGAGGCGGCAAUGUCCCAGUGGGGGAUGUAAUGCCAAUGAAGAGAAGAAGAGGAGGCAAUUUUUAACGGUUACACAUGCUUAUUAAAUUCAUUAAUAUGUAUUCGGAUAUUGUAGUUCAUUGCGUUACCCAAGUUAAUUGCAUUCACGCCUUAAAACGAAGUUUAUCGUUUGCAUUGUUAUGAGACAUAUCUUCUUCUUCUUCAUCGGCAUUCCAUCCCCCACUGGCACUUUGACGCCUCGCAGCUUAGUGUUCAUUAAGCACUUUCAACUGUUAUUAACUGCGCGGUUUCUAAGCCAAGGUACCAUUUCUGCAUUCGUACAUCAUGACUCAUGAGGCUAACACAAUGAUACUUUUAUGCCCAGGGAAGUCGAGACAAUUUCCAACCCGAAAAUUUCUAAGACCGGACCGGGAAACGAACCCAGCCACCCUCAGCAUGGUUUUGCUUUGUAGCCGCGUAUCUUACCGUACGGCUAAUGACAUAAAUCCUGUAGCAAUAGAAUCUGAAUAC